AUUGAACGCUGGCGGCAUGCUUUACACAUGCAAGUCGAACGGUAACAGGCCUUCGGGCGCUGACGAGUGGCGAACGGGUGAGUAAUGCAUCGGAACGUGUCCAGAGGUGGGGGAUAACGCAGCGAAAGCUGUGCUAAUACCGCAUAUUAUCUGAGGAUGAAAGCGGGGGACUAAGCAGCAAUGUUUGGCCUCGCGCCUUUGGAGCGGCCGAUGUCAGAUUAGGUAGUUGGUGGGGUAAAGGCCUACCAAGCCGACGAUCUGUAGCUGGUCUGAGAGGACGACCAGCCACACUGGGACUGAGACACGGCCCAGACUCCUACGGGAGGCAGCAGUGGGGAAUUUUGGACAAUGGGCGCAAGCCUGAUCCAGCAAUGCCGCGUGCAGGAAGAAGGGCCUUCGGGUUGUAAACUGCUUUUGUACGGAACGAAACGGUACCUGGUUAAUACCUGGGGCUAAGUGACGGUACCGUAAGAAUAAGCACCGGCUAACUACGUGCCAG
rnacentral:rRNA from 1 species